CCUGUAAGCACAUCUUUCUACCUGGCA
rnacentral:misc_RNA from 1 species